rnacentral:rRNA from 1 species
AACGAACGCUGGCGGCAUGCCUAACACAUGCAAGUCGAACGAGACCUUCGGGUCUAGUGGCGCCCGGGUGCGUAACGCGUGGGAACCUGCCCUUAGGUUCGGAAUAACUCCCCGAAAGGGGUGCUAAUACCGGAUAAUGUCUUCGGACCAAAGAUUUAUCGCCUUUGGAUGGGCCCUCGUUGGAUUAGCUAGUUGGUAGGGUAAAAGCCUACCAAGGCGACGAUCCAUAGCUGGUCUGAGAGGAUGAUCAGCGACACUGGGACUGGGACACGGCCCAGACUCCUACGGGAGGCAGCAGUGGGGAAUAGUGGAAAAUGGGCGAAAGCCUGAUCCAGCAAUGCCGCGUGAGUGAUGAAGGCCUUAGGGUUGUAAAGCUCUUUUACCCGGGAUGAUAAUGACAGUACCGGGAGAAUAAGCUCCGGCUAACUCCGUG